GGGACAAGGAUGCAGACCUCC
rnacentral:miRNA from 1 species